rnacentral:tRNA from 1 species
CGGGAUGUAGCGCAGCUUGGUAGCGCGUAUGCUUUGGGAGCAUGAUGCCGCAGGUUCGAAUCCUGUCAUCCCGA